AGACUCGCCGGAGCUCCUGCCACUGCUGCUGCUGCUGGUUCCUUGGCCUCCUCGCCGCCAUCGUUUUCCUCUCCGCGGCCGCCGCCGGCAUCUUCUACCUCGUCGUCCGCCCCGAGGCCCCCAACUACUCCGUUGAGAGCAUCGCAUUUAAAGGCUUCAACCUCACAACGACGUCGUCCCCGCCGUCCGCCAUCUCGCCUGAGAUCCACGUCACCGUCCGGGCCCAGAACCCUAACAAGAAGAUCGGGAUCUACUACGAGAGAGAGAGCUCCGUCAAGCUCUUUUACUCCGACAUCAAACUGUGUGACGGCGUUCUGC
rnacentral:lncRNA from 1 species